GUUCGACUAACGAUUGCACUUUGUUGUGCUAGUGAUGGCUAAUGUAGCCUUAAACAGAGUUCUGGCGCGGGACUCAGAUGUCAGAUGGCUGAGCUUCGUGCAGCGGUGUAAUUGGAAGACGACGCUCUCUGUUCCUGGCUAGUAAUAUCAGUGAGCAGGAUCAACACUCAGUGACGCUGUAAGCCCUGCAGAACAACCAGUCCAGUUUGGAGAGCCAGCAGCCUUUGGUCAGAACAUCCCGACCCGGUGUGAUGCAGAUUCCUCGCAGACAUCAGUGCCUUUAAAACGACACAAAGAAAUCAUUAUUACCCUUCUAACUAUUUUUUUUUUUUAAAUUACAACUUCAUUUGAUUUGUUGAAUUGCUGUAGGAAACAUUUUUAUUUUACUGUCAAAGGAAAUACAUCUACGUUUUAGUGGGGAAAGGCAUAAUAUGUGGUCAAAGAUAUGUUCCCCUACGACGCCAACAUUUGAAACAGGAGUUAAAGCUAACUUGACUCAAACUGUCUGAUUUAUUAUAUAAAAUACAUUUAAAGUUAUUGGUAAUUGUUGAUUUUAACGAACACUUUUUGUAUCAAAUGAAAAACACAACUGUUGAAUUGAAAAGUCAAACUACAUAGAUCUUCCUAUGAAGAAAUUAUUUAUUAGGCCCUUAAUACAAAACCAAUCCUUCAUUUUAAGAGUGAUUCAAUUUCAGAAACCAAAGUGUGACCUUACUUAGAGCUCAUAAAAUGAAGUAUUAAAAUAUAAUUAUGGCACAAAUGAAAAUAGCUUAUAUUGUUUAAACACCUUUAGUUAUAUUGAGACAGUAAAUUUAGUAAAUGUCAAAAAUGAAAUGUAGUCCUCUGUAUUUUCUGAAUACCAAAUAAAAUUGUCACAUAAUCUCA